GACGUGAGGCUCGUUGCUAGGGGCGGAGGCGCAGGAGACGGUGGAGCUCGGAGACUACGGCCGCCCUCCGGCUCCUCGUCCCAGCCGGCCUCAGCUCCAACCCCGCCAGCCCACCGAGAUUAAGAAGUGGCUGCCUGAACUAUUAAUAUUUUUCAGAAGAUACACAUUACAAAUCAUUGAAUACGGCAGUUCACCAAGAAGAUCCUAUUCAUUUGCGGGGAACACAACUUCCAGCAGCCACAAGGGAUGCUGCUACUCAGAUGCCAACCGAAACGAGUACCUCCGCAGAAGGUUUUUUGUAGGUUCUGUGCGGGGAUGGGGAAACUACAAAGCAAACUCAAACAUGGCACUUAUAAAUACAGCAGGCCCGAUGGAAUUAUAGAAGAGAGAAUUCAAACUAAAGUUUUUCAAGAGUAUAGCCCAGCUCAUGUGGAUACCGUCUCUGCUGUUGCUGCUCUGAACUCAGACCUUUGUGUCUCCGGAGGAAAAGAUAAGACAGUUGUGGCCUAUAAUUGGAAAACUGGAAAUGUGGUGAAAAGGUUCAAAGGACAUGAACGUGAAAUCACCAAGGUAGCCUGUAUUCCCCAAUCAAACCAGUUCUUCAGUGCCUCUCGGGACAGGAUGGUCAUGAUGUGGGACUUGCAUGGUUCCUCACAACCGAGGCAGCAGUUGUCUGGCCAUGCCAUGGUGGUCACUGGAUUGGCUGUGGGUCCAGACUUGUCACAGCUGUGCACUGGCUCUCGGGACAACACCCUGCUUCUGUGGGAUGUGGGGACCGGACAGUGUGUGGAGAGAGCAUCUAUCUCCAGGAAUGUGGUCACUCACCUGUGCUGGGUUCCCAGAGAGCCAUAUAUACUACAGACCUCUGAGGAUAAAACCAUCAGAUUAUGGGACAGUCGGGGGCUGCAGGUAGCUCAUAUGUUUCCCGCAAAGCAGCACAUUCAGACCUACUGUGAAGUCAGUGUGGAUGGACAUAAGUGUAUCUCCUGCAGCAGCGGCUUUGGAGGGGAAGGCUGUGAAGCCACGUUGUGGGAUCUAAGACAGACACGGAAAAGAAUAUGUGAAUAUAAGGGCCAUUUCCAGACCGUUGCAUCCUGUGUCUUCCUACCAAGAGCAUUGGGCUUGAUGCCUAUAAUUGCUACCUCAUCACAUGAUUGCAAGGUGAAGAUUUGGAACCAAGAUACUGGAGGUAACCGGUGUGACCAGCAACUGGUGUAUCCUUCUAGAGCCAUUUCAUGCAUAUACAAGCAAAUACGUGCUUUUUUCUACUAUCACUUUUACAAUCAAAAGACAAUAAGACUACCUUCAUUUUGAAGAAAAGGCUGUAGAAGACUAUUUUACGAUGUAGAAGAUAAGUGAAAAAAGAGGCUAUAAAACAGUACAUAGAGUAUGACAUGUUAUAACUUAUGAAGAAUGUGUUUUUCUAUAUUUCAAAUAUAAAGAGACAGAAAAGUGAUAUAUCCAAAUGUGUGGGUGAUUAUCUCUGUGCACAGGAUUUCAGGGAAACUAGGUGGCUAGAAGAAAGUUUUCAUUGCAAAAUCAAAUCUUUCACAUGCUGAACCACAUGAAUGUAUUACCUGUGAAGGAAAAUAAAGAUCUUAGAACCAAGCUCCCCCUCCAACUCCUUUUGCAAAAGAGAAGGUAAAGGUCUCAGGCACCUGUGAAGGACUUGCCCACAGAUCAUUG